rnacentral:rRNA from 1 species
GGACCCGCACAAGUAGUGGAGCAUGUGGUUUAAUUCGAAGAUACGCGCAGAACCUUACCAACACUUGACAUGUUCGUCGCGACUUUAAGAGAUUAAAGUUUUCGGUUCGGCCGGACGAAACACAGGUGCUGCAUGGCUGUCGUCAGCUCGUGUCGUGAGAUGUUGGGUUAAGUCCCGCAACGAGCGCAACCCUCACUUUUAGUUGCCAUCAUUUAGUUGGGCACUCUGAAAGAACUGCCAGUGAUAAGCUGGAGGAAGGUGGGGAUGACGUCAAGUCCUCAUGGCCCUUACGUGUUGGGCUACACACGUGCUACAAUGAUAUUUACAACAGGAAGCAAAACGGCGACGUUAAGCAAAUCCUUAAAAAAUAUCUCAGUUCGGAUUGCACUCUGCAACUCGAGUGCAUGAAGCUGGAAUUACUAGUAAUCGU